rfam:Danio rerio chromosome 4, GRCz11 reference primary assembly.
GCAUUGGUGGUUCAGUGGUAGAAUUCUCUCCUGCCACGCUGGAGACCCGGGUCCGAUUCUCAGCCAAUGCA